AGCGGUAGCACAAGGGAGCUUGCUCCCUGGGUGACGAGCGGCGGACGGGUGAGUAAUGUCUGGGAAACUGCCUGAUGGAGGGGGAUAACUACUGGAAACGGUAGCUAAUACCGCAUAACGUCGCAAGACCAAAGAGGGGGACCUUCGGGCCUCUUGCCAUCAGAUGUGCCCAGAUGGGAUUAGCUAGUAGGUGGGGUAAUGGCUCACCUAGGCGACGAUCCCUAGCUGGUCUGAGAGGAUGACCAGCCACACUGGAACUGAGACACGGUCCAGACUCCUACGGGAGGCAGCAGUGGGGAAUAUUGCACAAUGGGCGCAAGCCUGAUGCAGCCAUGCCGCGUGUGUGAAGAAGGCCUUCGGGUUGUAAAGCACUUUCAGCGAGGAGGAAGGUGGUGAGCUUAAUACGCUCAUCAAUUGACGUUACUCGCAGAAGAAGCACCGGCUAACUCCGUGCCAGCAGCCGCGGUAAUACGGAGGGUGCAAGCGUUAAUCGGAAUUACUGGGCGUAAAGCGCACGCAGGCGGUUUGUUAAGUCAGAUGUGAAAUCCCCGGGCUCAACCUGGGAACUGCAUUUGAAACUGGCAAGCUAGAGUCUCGUAGAGGGGGGUAGAAUUCCAGGUGUAGCGGUGAAAUGCGUAGAGAUCUGGAGGAAUACCGGUGGCGAAGGCGGCCCCCUGGAC
rnacentral:rRNA from 1 species